rnacentral:rRNA from 1 species
AUGAACGCUAGCUACAGGCUUAACACAUGCAAGUCGAGGGGCAGCAUGGUCUUAGCUUGCUAAGGCCGAUGGCGACCGGCGCACGGGUGAGUAACACGUAUCCAACCUGCCGUCUACUCUUGGACAGCCUUCUGAAAGGAAGAUUAAUACAAGAUGGCAUCAUGAGUCCGCAUGUUCACAUGAUUAAAGGUAUUCCGGUAGACGAUGGGGAUGCGUUCCAUUAGAUAGUAGGCGGGGUAACGGCCCACCUAGUCUUCGAUGGAUAGGGGUUCUGAGAGGAAGGUCCCCCACAUUGGAACUGAGACACGGUCCAAACUCCUACGGGAGGCAGCAGUGAGGAAUAUUGGUCAAUGGGCGAGAGCCUGAACCAGCCAAGUAGCGUGAAGGAUGACUGCCCUAUGGGUUGUAAACUUCUUUUAUAAAGGAAUAAAGUCGGGUAUGGAUACCCGUUUGCAUGUACUUUAUGAAUAAGGAUCGGCUAACUCCGUGCCAGCAGCCGCGGUAAUACGGAGGAUCCGAGCGUUAUCCGGAUUUAUUGGGUUUAAAGGGAGUGUAGAUGGAUGUUUAAGUCAGUUGUGAAAGUUUGCGGCUCAACCGUAAAAUUGCAGUUGAUACUGGAUAUCUUGAGUGCAGUUGAGGCAGGCGGAAUUCGUGGUGUAGCGGUGAAAUGCUUAGAUAUCACGAAGAACUCCGAUUGCGAAGGCAGCCUGCUAAGCUGCAACUGACAUUGAGGCUCGAAAGUGUGGGUAUCAAACAGGAUUAGAUACCCUGGUAGUCCACACGGUAAACGAUGAAUACUCGCUGUUUGCGAUAUACGGCAAGCGGCCAAGCGAAAGCGUUAAGUAUUCCACCUGGGGAGUACGCCGGCAACGGUGAAACUCAAAGGAAUUGACGGGGGCCCGCACAAGCGGAGGAACAUGUGGUUUAAUUCGAUGAUACGCGAGGAACCUUACCCGGGCUUAAAUUGCAGAUGAAUUACGGUGAAAGCCGUAAGCCGCAAGGCAUCUGUGAAGGUGCUGCAUGGUUGUCGUCAGCUCGUGCCGUGAGGUGUCGGCUUAAGUGCCAUAACGAGCGCAACCCUUGUUGUCAGUUACUAACAGGUUCCGCUGAGGACUCUGACAAGACUGCCAUCGUAAGAUGUGAGGAAGGUGGGGAUGACGUCAAAUCAGCACGGCCCUUACGUCCGGGGCUACACACGUGUUACAAUGGGGGGUACAGAGGGCCGCUACCACGCGAGUGGAUGCCAAUCCCCAAAACCUCUCUCAGUUCGGACUGGAGUCUGCAACCCGACUCCACGAAGCUGGAUUCACUAGUAAUCGCGCAUCAGCCACGGCGCGGUGAAUACGUUCCCGGGCCUUGUACACACCGCCCGUCAAGCCAUGGGAGCCGGGGGUACCUGAAGUGCGUAACCGCGAGGAGCGCCCUAGGGUAAAACUGGUGACUGGGGCU